AUUCCUACGGGAGGCAGCAGCCGCGGUAAUAUUGGACAAUGGGCGAAACCCUGAUCCAGCGAUGCCGCGUGGGUGAAGAAGGCCUUCGGGUUGUAAAGCCCUUUAGGUUGGGAAGAAGCUUGGUGUGUGAAUAGCAUGUCAAGUUGACGGUACCGACAGAAUAAGCGCCGGCAAACUCUGUGCCAGCAGCCGCGGUAAUAAU
rnacentral:rRNA from 1 species